rnacentral:tRNA from 1 species
CUACUAAGUGAUGAAAAUCCGUCGACUUUAUAAAUCGUGAGGGUUCAAGUCCCUCUAUCCC